rnacentral:tRNA from 1 species
UCCCUGGUAGCUCAGAUGGUAAAGAGUCUGCCUGCAAUGCAGGAGACCCAGGUUUGAUCCCUGGGUUGGGAA